AAGAGAAUAAAAAGAAGAAGCUGCUAACUAUCUUCCUAAAGAAAUUAAACAUCUUUUUCUCUUA
rnacentral:tRNA from 1 species